rnacentral:tRNA from 1 species
GCCUGGGUGGCUCAGUCGGUUGAGCAUCCGACUUCGGCUCAGGUCAUGAUCUCACAGUUUGUGGGUUCAAGCCCCACAUCAGGCU